rnacentral:ncRNA from 1 species
UCUGUAAUACUGUAUUCUAUAAAUAUUAAUAUAACCGUAGUUUCCUCAUUCACUCGAUGGAGAAGGGAUCAGGCUGUCACUGAGUGGUGGUUCAAUAUCUGGUGCAUGUCGAGCACCUUUGCGGGUGUCAACACAGCCAAUGCACGACCCUUUGUCGAGAACAGUGUUGGUCGAGGGGUUUGACUGGGACGGUAUGUCUGUCAAACGGUAACGCAGGUGUCCCAAGGCGAGCUCAGCAUGGAUGGAAACCACGCAUCGAAUAAAAGGGCAACAGCUUGCUCGAUCUCAAUUUUCAGUACAAAUAUAGACUGUGAAAGCGUGGCCCAUCGAUCCUUUCCGAACAGUGGCGAGCUAUGGAUCUGUUGAGAAGUGUCAGUAACGUAACCACAGGGAUAACUGGCUGGUGGCAGCCAAGUGUUGGCAGCUAUGUCACUUUUUAAUCCUUUGACAUUGGCUCUUCCUAUCAUUGCAAAGCAGAAUUUGCAGCAUUGGAUUGUUUACCCACUAACGGGGAAUGUUAGUAGGGAUUGGACCAUCGUGAGACAGGUUA